rnacentral:rRNA from 1 species
AUUGAACGCUGGCGGUAUGCUUAACACAUGCAAGUCGAACGGUAACAGGCCUUCGGGCGCUGACGAGUGGCGGACGGUGAGUAACGCGUAGGAAUCUGCCUCAUAGUGGGGACAACGUGGGGAAACUCACGCUAAUACCGCAUACGCCUACGGGAAGCGGGGAGUCUUCGGACCUCGCGCUAUGAGAUGAGCCUGCAAUUAGAUUAGCUAGUUGGUAGGGUAAAGGCCUACCAAGGCGACGAUCUAUAGCUGGUCUGAGAGGACGAUCAGCCACACUGGGACUGAGACACGGCCCAGACUUCCUACGGGAGGCAGCAGUU